UACACAUGCAGUCGAGCGGGGANGUNGUAGCUUGCUACANNNACCUAGCGGCGGACGGGUGAGUAAUGCUUAGGAAUCUGCCUAUUAGUGGGGGACAACAUUCCGAAAGGAAUGCUAAUACCGCAUACGCCCUACGGGGGAAAGCAGGGGAUCUUCGGACCUUGCGCUAAUAGAUGAGCCUAAGUCAGAUUAGCUAGUUGGUGGGGUAAAGGCCUACCAAGGCGACGAUCUGUAGCGGGUCUGAGAGGAUGAUCCGCCACACUGGGACUGAGACACGGCCCAGACUCCUACGGGAGGCAGCAGUGGGGAAUAUUGGACAAUGGGCGNAAGCCUGAUCCAGCCAUGCCGCGUGUGUGAAGAAGGCCUUUUGGUUGUAAAGCACUUUAAGCGAGGAGGAGGCUACUUGGAUUAAUACUCUAGGAUAGUGGACGUUACUCGCAGAAUAAGCACCGGCUAACUCUGUGCCAGCAGCCGCGGUAAUACAGAGGGUGCGAGCGUUAAUCGGAUUUACUGGGCGUAAAGCGUGCGUAGGCGGCUUUUUAAGUCGGAUGUGAAAUCCCUGAGCUUAACUUAGGAAUUGCAUUCGAUACUGGGAAGCUAGAGUAUGGGAGAGGAUGGUAGAAUUCCAGGUGUAGCGGUGAAAUGCGUAGAGAUCUGGAGGAAUACCGAUGGCGAAGGCAGCCAUCUGGCCUAAUACUGACGCUGAGGUACGAAAGCAUGGGGAGCAAACAGGAUUAGAUACCCUGGUAGUCCAUGCCG
rnacentral:rRNA from 1 species